rnacentral:rRNA from 1 species
UGGGGAAUCUUGCACAAUGGGGGCAACCCUGAUGCAGCGACGCCGCGUGAGCGAUGAAGCCCUUCGGGGCGUAAAGCUCUUUCGACCGGAACGAUAAUGACGGUACCGGGAGAAGAAGCUGCGGCUAACUACGUGCCAGCAGCCGCGGUAAUACGUAGGCAGCAAGCGUUGUUCGGAAUUACUGGGCGUAAAGAGUGCGUAGGCGGUUUUCUAAGUUCGGUGUGAAAUCUCCCGGCUUAACUGGGAGGGUGCGCCGAAGACUGGGAAGCUGGAGUGUGGGAAAGGCAGGCGGAAUUCCUGGUGUAGCCGUGAAAUGCGUAGAUAUCAGGAGGAACACCGGCGGUGUAGACGGCUUGCUAAACCAUAACUGACGCUGAGGCACGAAAGCGUGGGUAGCAAACA